AACCCACAGCUCCCUGAUUGAGCUAACCUGGCAAGUUACCUUGCUCUAGGGAUGUUCUGCUACUGUCUUCUGUGUGCUGGGAUUCAGACGAAAAUUAAUGGAGUAAAGUGGAAAGGUAAAGGAGAAAGCUAAAUGAAGGAUGGUCACAGCAAGAUUUUUUUUCUGUGGCAGUCACAGCCUUGGGAUCUCAGAAGAACAUCAUGAAGGUUUGUGGAGAUGGGUGUAUAGACAGGAACCUAGCAUAACUGUUCUUUGAGAGGCUCCACCAAGCAGUUGACUAAAACAGAUACAGAUACCCAGAGCCAAACAUUGGAUAGAGGUUGGGGACCUUAUGGAAGAGUUGGGAGAAUGAUUGAAGGCCCUGAAGAGGAUAGGAACCCCACAGGGACACCAACACUGUCAUCUAACCUGGACCCCUGGGGGUUCUCAGAGACUGAGCCAUCAACCAAAGAGCCAACACAGGCUGAACUGAAGUCCCAGAUAGAUGCUUUGUUCAGCCUCAGUGGGAGAGGACACACCUAAAGCUGCAAAGACUUGAUGUGCCAGGGUGGGAGGGGUACCUGGGGGGGCACUCACACAUAGAGGAAGAGGUAGGAGUAGGGACUCUGUGAGAGGGGGGACUGGGAAGGAGGCAGAGUUUGGGAUGUAAAUAAAUAAAUAAAUAAAUAAAUAAAUAAA